rnacentral:rRNA from 1 species
GACGAACGCUGGCGGCGUGCUUAACACAUGCAAGUCGAACGGAAAGGCCCUGCUUUUGUGGGGUGCUCGAGUGGCGAACGGGUGAGUAACACGCGAGUAACCUGCCCUUGACUUUGGGAUAACUUCAGGAAACUGGGGCUAAUACCGGAUAGGAGCUCCUGCUGCAUGGUGGGGGUUGGAAAGUUUCGGCGGUUGGGGAUGGACUCGCGGCUUAUUAGCUUGUUGGUGGGGUAGGGGCUUACCAAGACUUUGACGGGUAGCCGGCCUGAGAGGGUGGCCGGCCACAUUGGGACUGAGAUACGGCCCAGACUCCUACGGGAGGCAGCAGUGGGGAAUAUUGCACAAUGGGCGGAAGCCUGAUGCAGCAACGCCGCGUGCGGGAUGACGGCCUUCGGGUUGUAAACCGCUUUCGCCUGUGACGAAGCGUGAGUGACGGUAAUGGGUAAAGAAGCACCGGCUAACUACGUG